rnacentral:rRNA from 1 species
AUUGAACGCUGGCGGCAGGCCUAACACAUGCAAGUCGAGCGAGCGGCGGACGGGUGAGUAAUGUGUGGGGACUGCCCGAUAGCGGGGGAUAACUACUGGAAACGGUAGCUAAUACCGCAUACUAUCGGAUAACCCAUAUGGGAUUAGCUAGUUGGUGGGGUAAAGGCUCACCAAGGCAACGAUCCGUAGCUCGGUUGAGCGGACGACCAGCCACACUGGGACUGAGACACGGCCCAGACUCCUACGGAGGCAGCAGGGGGGAAUUUUGGACAAUGGGGGAAACCCGUAUCCAGCCAUCCCGCGUGUAUGAUGAAGGCCUUCGGGUUGUAAAGUACUUUUGGCAGAGAAGCGGUAGCUGCAGAAUAAGCACCGGCUAACUACGUGCCAGCAGCCGCGGUAAUUC